GGUACCUGAGGAAUAAGCAUCGGCUAACUCCGUGCCAGCAGCCGCGGUAAUACGGAGGAUGCAAGCGUUAUCCGGAAUKAUUGGGCGUAAAGCGUCCGCAGGUGGCACAUCAAGUCUAGUGUUAAAGAMSGGGGCUCAACCCCGUAAAGGCAGUGGAAACUGUUAARCUAGAGYGUGGUAGGGGCAGAGGGAAUUCCCAGUGUAGCGGUGAAAUGCGUAGAGAUUGGGAAGAACAUCGGUGGCGAAG
rnacentral:rRNA from 1 species